GAUGAGCGCUGGCGGCGUGCCUAAUACAUGCAAGUCGAGCGAACGGACGAGGAGCUUGCUUCUCUGAUGUUAGCGGCGGACGGGUGAGUAACACGUGGAUAACCUACCUAUAAGACUGGGAUAACUUCGGGAAACCGGAGCUAAUCCCGGAUAAUAUUUUGAACCGCAUGGUUCAAAAGUGAAAGACGGCCUUGCUGUCACUUAUAGAUGGAUCCGCGCUGCAUUAGCUAGUUGGUAAGGUAACGGCUUACCAAGGCAACGAUGCGUAGCCGACCUCAGAGGGUGAUCGGCCACCCUGGAACUGAGACACGGUCCAGACUCCUACAGGAGGCAGCAGUAGGGAAUCUUCCGCAAUGGGCGAAAGCCUGACGGAGCAACGCCGCGUGAGUGAUGAAGGUCUUCGGAUCGUAAAACUCUGUUAUUAGUGAAGAACAUAUGUGUAAGUAACUGUGCACAUCUUGACGGUACCUAAUCAGAAAGCCACGGCUAACUACGUG
rnacentral:rRNA from 1 species